rnacentral:snRNA from 1 species
AGAGAAUUUCUUGAACCCGGGAGGCGGAGAUUGCAGUGAGCCGAGAUCAUGCCACUGCACUCCAGCUUGGGCAACAGAG